GAUGAACGCUGACAGAAUGCUUAACACAUGCAAGUCUUUGGUGAAGCUGUGCUUGCACAGCCUAGCCAAGGCGGACGGGUGAGUAACGCGUAAGGAACUUGCCCUGCAGUCAGGGAUAACAGACGGAAACGACUGAUAAGACCUGGUAAAGUCAGGCGGACUCAUGUCCAGCCUGAUGAAAAGAGAUGCUGCAGGAGAGCCUUGCGUCCUAUUAGCUUGUUGGUGGGGUAACGGCCCACCAAGGCAAUGAUAGGUAGCCGGCCUGAGAGGGUGGACGGCCACAAGGGGACUGAGAUACGGCCCUUACUCCUACGGGAGGCAGCAGUGGGGAAUAUUGGACAAUGGGGGCAACCCUGAUCCAGCAAUUCUGUGUGAACGAUGAAGGUCUUCGGAUUGUAAAGUGCUUUCAGCAGGGAAGAAAAAAAUGACGGUACCUGCAGAAGAAGCGACGGCUAAAUACGUG
rnacentral:rRNA from 1 species